CACGUAGGGCGCAAGCGUUGUCCGGAAUUAUUGGGCGUAAAGGGUGCGUAGGCGGCGCGGUAAGUCGGGUGUGAAAUCUCGGAGCUUAACUCCGAAACUGCAUUCGAUACUGCCGUGCUUGAGGACUGGAGAGGAGACUGGAAUUUACGGUGUAGCGGUGAAAUGCGUAGAUAUCGUAAGGAAGACCAGUGGCGAAGGCGGGUCUCUGGACAGUUCCUGACGCUGAGGCACGAAGGCCAGGGGAGCAAACGGG
rnacentral:rRNA from 1 species